rnacentral:rRNA from 1 species
UACGUAGGGCGCAAGCGUUGUCCGGAAUUAUUGGGCGUAAAGAGCUCGUAGGCGGCUUGUCACGUCGGAUGUGAAAGCCCGAGGCUUAACCUCGGGUCUGCAUUCGAUACGGGCUAGCUAGAGUGUGGUAGGGGAGAUCGGAAUUCCUGGUGUAGCGGUGAAAUGCGUAGAUAUCGGGAGGAACACCAGUGGCGAAGGCGACUACCUGGCCUGUUCUUGACGCUGAGGCGCGAAAGCUAGGGGAGCAAACGGG